CGUUGUCCGGAUUUAUUGGGCGUAAAGAGCGUGUAGGCGGCUUUACAGGUCCGUUGUGAAAACUCGAGGCUCAACCUCGAGACGCCGGUGGAAACCGUAAGGCUAGAGUCCGGAAGAGGAGAGUGGAAUUCCUGGUGUAGCGGUGAAAUGCGCAGAUAUCAGGAGGAACACCCGUGGCGAAAGCGGCUCUCUGGGACGGUACUGGCGCUGAGACGCGAAAGCGUGGGGAGCAAACAGG
rnacentral:rRNA from 1 species